rnacentral:rRNA from 1 species
GGAUAAGCUACUAAGAGUGAAUGGUGGAUGCCUUGGUGUCCAGAGCCGAUGAAGGACGUGGCAUAGCUGCGAUAAACUUCGGGGAGCCGCUAAGCAGGCUGAGAUCCGAAGGUGUCCGAGAUCGGGAAACCGACCGGGAUUCAUCUCCCGGUGCCGUGCGAACGGCGGGAACGCAGGGAACUGAAACAUCUAAGUACCUGCAGGAAAGUAAAGAAAAAUC